UCCGGUUUGUCACCGGCAGUCUGGUGUGAGUCCCCACCAUUACGUGCUGGCAACUAAGGACAAGGGUUGCGCUCGUUGCGGGACUUAACCCAACAUCUCACGACACGAGCUGACGACAGCCAUGCAGCAUCUGUGGUGCACCCUCGAAGGUCACACGUUUCCGUGCGCUUGCAGCACCAUGUCAAGCCCAGGUAAGGUUCUUCGCGUUGCAUCGAAUUAAAGAACAUGCUCCGCUGCUUGUGCGGGCCCCCGUCAAUUCCUUUGAGUUUCAGUCUUGCGACCGUACUCCCCAGGCGGCGAACUUAACGCGUUAGCUUCGAUACUGAGUGCCUAGUUGCACCCAACAUCCAGUUCGCAUCGUUUAGGGCGUGGACUAC
rnacentral:misc_RNA from 1 species